UACGGAGGGGGCUAGCGUUGUUCGGAAUUACUGGGCGUAAAGGGCUCGUAGGCGGCCAACUAAGUCCGACGUGAAAUCCCAAAGCUUAACUUUGGAACUGCGUCGGAUACUGGAUGGCUUGAAUUCGGGAGAGGGAUGCAGAAUUCCAGGUGUAGCGGUGAAAUGCGUAGAUAUCUGGAGGAAUACCGGUGGCGAAGGCGGCAUCCUGGACCGACAUUGACGCUGAGGAGCGAAAGCUAGGGGAGCAAACGGG
rnacentral:rRNA from 1 species